ensembl:snRNA U6 U6 spliceosomal RNA
UGCUAACACCAACAGCACAUACGCUAAACUGGAAGAAUACAGAAAAGGUUAGCAUGGCCCCCCACACACACACAAGGAUGACACAUGAAUUCAUGAAGUGUUGCAUAUUUUU